GUGGGGAAUAUUGCGCAAUGGGCGAAAGCCUGACGCAGCGACGCCGCGUGAGGGAUGAAGGUUUUCGGAUCGUAAACCUCUGUCAGAAGGGAAGAAACUACAUUGUGCUAAUCAGCAGUGUACUGACGGUACCUUCAAAGGAAGCACCGGCUAACUCCGUGCCAGCAGCCGCGGUAAUACGGAGGGUACAAGCGUUAAUCGGAAUUACUGGGCGUAAAGCGCACGUAGGCUGUAGUGUAAGUCAGGGGUGAAAUCCCACGGCUCAACCGUGGAACUGCCUUUGAUACUGAACAACUUGAAUCCGGGAGAGGGUGGCGGAAUUCCAGGUGUAGGAGUGAAAUCCGUAGAUAUCUGGAGGAACAUCAGUGGCGAAGGCGGCCACCUGGACCGGUAUUGACGCUGAGGUGCGAAAGCGUGGGGAGCAAACAGGAUUAGAUACCCCAGUAGUCC
rnacentral:rRNA from 1 species